AGAGAGAGACAUGCGCGCAUAUCAAUAAGCGGAGGAAAAGAAACUAACAAGGAUUCCCCUAGUAACGGCGAGUGAAGCGGGAAGAGCUCAAAUUUGAAAUCUUAAAGGGUUUCCCUUUACGAAUUGUAGUUUAAAGAAGUGUUUUCUGUUGAAGGUUUCGGUAAAAGUUCUUUGGAAUAGGACAUCAUAGAGGGUGAGAAUCCCGUAUUUGACCUUUACUUUCAACUUUGUGAUACACUUUCAAAGAGUCGGAUUGUUUGGGAAUGCAGUCCAAAAUGGGUGGUAAAUUUCAUCUAAAGCUAAAUAUUGGCGAUGAGACCGAUAGCGAACAAGUACCGUGAGGGAAAGAUGAAAAGAACUUUGAAAAGAGAGUUAAACAGUACGUGAAAUUGUCAAAAGGGAAGCGUUUGACACCAGUGUUGUUUUUCUGAAAAUCAAUUAAAGAACUGUUUAUGCUAAGUUGUUUAGACUUUAUCAGCUAACUGUUUAGUUUUGAGCUUUUCUUUAAUGCACUUUUCAGUUAACAAGUCAACAUCAAUUUCUUUUGCUGUAAAAAAGCUUGAGGAAGGUGGCUUGAGAUUCGUCUUAAGUGUUUAUAGCCUCUUGCCUAUGCAGUCGGAGAGAUUGAGGUCUGCAGCGUAGAUCCUUCGGGGCUAAAUGCAUUUGUGCUAAGUUAUAGCAUUUUAUAGACAACUUGUUGACUAUGAUUUGUCCUGUAGCUUACUCGCUUAUGUUAUUUUACCUACGCUUAGGAUGUUGAGCGCAUGUCUCUCUCU
rnacentral:rRNA from 1 species